rnacentral:hammerhead_ribozyme from 1 species
AUCCAACUGACGAGUGCCCCAAAAAUAGGACGAAACCCGCAUCCUGGAU